CAGGGAGGCCAUCUGUACUCAGCCAGCCGGCACCUAGGCCUAAUUAUUUUUCAUAUUUCAGUCAUUUUAUUUCUUUAAGUGUGACUUGGUAUUGUUCUGAGACUUUUCAGAAUUACCAGUACACAGAGCCAGGAUGAAUUUGGAGAUUAAACAUGCUAUCUUGGUUUUGUGGAUUUUUCUCCAAGUUCAAGGAAUCAAAGAUACCUCUACUAAAACACACAGUUCUGGAACUAAAAACAUAGACAAAGCCCCAAGAAUUGAAACAACUGAAAGCACUUCAGCAGUGCACAAAGCGUCAACCAUGAAACGACUGUUCGCUGUGGCAAAGCUUCGAAACAAAAGAUCGGCACUGUUCCCAGCUGUGAACAUCUGUCUGCGGGAAUCCUUGAGGCAGAUUUUAG
rnacentral:lncRNA from 1 species